AAAAGCCCGAGGACAGCUGACGCCCUUGAGGUGAGGAAAGUCCCCUCUCCUCGGCAGGGCCGGCCCCAUGCAAAUUGGGAUCCUGAGAAGGAUGGCAACGGCACGAGAAAUCUACGGCGCGGGUAAAAAGGAUGAUGAGACGCUCAGACGUUCCCCGACGGCCGAUGGGAAGCCGACCCCGGCGGAGCAAGUCUAAACAGAUCCUGUGAGGCUGCCGCGAGGAUCGGGUAAGACGCAUCAGUCGAAUGCUGUCAACCGAAAGGCGAACAGAAAGGGGCUUACUCCGGGCAUUU
rnacentral:RNase_P_RNA from 1 species